rnacentral:rRNA from 1 species
GCGGAAGGAUCAUUAACGAAAUCGAAUGUUCGGGUUGUUGCUGGGUGGUCUCUCUUCUUCCCUUUAGGGGGGGGGGAUUAUAUGUGCACGCCUGGACCGUCGUUGUCCCAUUUCUUCCACACCUGUGCACGAUCUGUAGUUGGGGAUGAUCACGGGGCUGGCUUUUUGUCGGUCUCGAAUGGCCCCGACUAUGAACGGUUUAUUACACACCUUGAUUUUGUUUUUAUCGGAAUGUAUGCCCGCGUUGUAACGGCGCGAAUGAAAUACAACUUUCAGCAACGGAUCUCUUGGCUCUCGCAUCGAUGAAGAACGCAGCGAAAUGCGAUAAGUAAUGUGAAUUGCAGAAUUCAGUGAAUCAUCGAAUCUUUGAACGCACCUUGCGCCCCUUGGUAUUCCGAGGGGCAUGCCUGUUUGAGUGUCAUGAAAUUCUCAACCCCAACUUUGGUUUUGUUUCGGAGUUGAAGUUGGAUUUGGAGUGUUUGCUGGCCCUGUUCGGCUCCUCCCAAAAGCAUAUAAAUGUAGCUCUUUCUGCUGGAUCUUUGACGUGAUAAUUGUCUACGUCCGUGGAGAAAGCCCUUGAGCAUGACGGUGUGAGGGGAUCUCCGUUCCCUUAACCCGACUUUUAUUAUUCGACCUCAAAUCAGGCAGGACUACCCGCUGAACUUAAGCAUAUCAAUAAGCGGAGGAAAAGAAACUAACGAGGAUUCCCCUAGUAACUGCGAGUGAAGCGGGAAAAGCUCAAAUUUAAAAUCUGG